AGAGUUUGAUCAUGGCUCAGAACGAACGCUGGCGGCGUGGAUAAGACAUGCAAGUCGAACGCGACUUAUCUGGUUAGCAAUAACUAGGUAAGUUGAGUGGCGAAAGGGUGCGUAACACGUGGGAAUUUACCAAGAAGUGGGGAAUAGCUCGACGAAAGUCGAAUUAAUACCGCAUAUGAUCGCAAGAUCAAAGCCGGGGACCGCAAGGCCUGGCGCUUUUUGAGAAGCCCGCGGCCCAUCAGCUAGUUGGCGAGGUAAAAGCUCACCAAGGCUAUGACGGGUAGCUGGUCUGAGAGGACGACCAGCCACACUGGAACUGAGACACGGUCCAGACACCUACGGGUGGCAGCAGUCGAGAAUUUUUCACAAUGGACGAAAGUCUGAUGGAGCGACGCCGCGUGGAGGAUGAAGGUUUUCGGAUUGUAAACUCCUGUCACUGCAGAACAAGGUUACGCCGGUUAACAGCCGGUGUAAUUGAUGGUAUGCGGAGAGGAAGGGACGGCUAACUCUGUGCCAGCAGCCGCGGUAAGACAGAGGUCCCGAGCGUUGUUCGGAUUCAUUGGGCGUAAAGGGUGUGUAGGAGGUUGGGUAAGUCAGGUGUGAAAUCUCAGAGCUUAACUCUGAAACUGCGCUUGAUACUGCUCAGCUAGAGGAUCGGAGGGGGUAACGGAAUUUAUGGUGUAGCAGUGAAAUGCGUAGAUAUCAUAAGGAACACCGGUGGUGAAGGCGGUUACCUGGAAGAUUCCUGACUCUGAAACACGAAAGCCAGGGGAGCAAACGGGAUUAGAUACCCCAGUAGUCC
rnacentral:rRNA from 1 species